ensembl:lncRNA
GUCACUUACAUCCCUUUUCUUCCUCAUUCUGAUGCUUAGUUUUAACUUCAGCAGGUUUUCUUGACCAUGUCUACAUGCUUACACUGUGUGCACAAUUAUUAGGGAAGUGAGUAUUUUGGCCGUAUUAUAAUUUUUAUGCAUAUUUUCCAACUUCGAGCUGGAUAAACUUGAGUGCCUAUUGGAUUUAAGCAUAUCAGGUGAUGUGUAUUUGCGUAAUGAGUGAGGGUGUGGCCUAAAGAGAUCAACACUCAAUAUAAAGUUGUGAAAUUAAUCCUCAAAAAUCCAGCUUGCCUAAUAAUUGUGCACACAGAGUAAUUGUAAUGAAUUGCUACCAUUAGAUUGGCUGAUAAAGUACUUGUAUUGAUGAGCAGCUGAACAGGUGUAUCUAACAAAGUGACCAGUAAGUAUGUAUCUGGAGUUUAAAGUGCACAAUUUCUCUCAGGAAAAUGUGCAGAUAAAAAUCGCACAAUAAUCACCCUCAGACAAAGACCAUCUAUACACAUUGAAUGUUUUAUUAAAAAAGAAGUUAUAACAGUUUAUUUUAUACACAACUAUUUAUGAGGUUAUAAGCCUAUUAAUAGAGAGCAUCUGUCAUUUUUGACAAGCAUGCCCACUUCACAAUGAAAAGAAAAAAAGAAAAAAAAACAAAACAAAAUAAAACAUGAGGGCAGAGAAGGUGGAAAAAAAAAAAUAAAACAAAGAAUGGAUUUACUGAAACAAACCAAAAAAAAUCCAAAACCCUUUUGACUUUUAAACCCUUGAGUAUCACACACUAGGUACCAAAUACAUAGUUUCUAUUAAAUCAAAACUGCUGUUUUCCAUGCUGCGUGUGCCUGCUAAAUCCCCUGACGGCAGCAGUCGGCCAGCGCAGGGAACAAAUCCACACAAGCACAAGACAGGAUGGGAGGUGAGCCUCGACUCCACACCAGAAGCAUGCAACUGCUCGAGGAGUCAACACAUGGGGGAGGUGACUUUACAGGAUGAGGGUUCCUGCUCUUUGCAGCUGUGCUGAUAAAACAGAGAAAGGGCCUUGGGAGUCUCGUCUACAGAUGAAUAGACCAGUCACUUCACUCAAAUCCUUCAUCCUUAUUGUAUGCAGCAGGUUCUGGGAGAGGAGUGUGGCUAUAGUUGCAAGACUGUAGCCCAGCUCUGGACUUCCUGUGCAGGUUUACAGUCACAAUUGUGAGGCUCUGUGAAUCCUAGCAUCAAUGAUAUAGAUGUGCGGAGUCUCUGUUUAAACCUGCAAGCUUGUUGUCUGAAAGAAGUGAAUGGGGAAACAAGCCAAAAGGAUAUGAAAUAAAAGAACAUAAAAAUGCUUCAAUCUUUAGAGAAAUACUCUAGAAUUCAAGUUGCAGUGGGAAGUGUAAUCAUUCACUGGCUUUAGGAUGUCUUCUUUAGUUCUUAAGUUAAAGAUAACUCGAAUUUUAAAAAAGGCAGCUAUCAGUAAAAUAAGAUUGGCCAUUGAGAAGAUUGUUUACCAGAGGAACACCAGGCCACAGCUGAGUAUAUCAUCAAUUUAUUGCAAAUAAUCCUGACAACCAAUC